GGUUCUGAAAACAACUGCAUGAGCAGGACAGGAGCUGCUCACAGAGGGCUGCACAGACCCUGGCAGGGGAAAAGCCUCUGCUCAACCCUUCCCACAGGGCUGAGCACACAAACAAGAACAGCAAGACAGAUGUUCAGAUGAACAUUUGACACAUAACAUCUUCUGUGUGCAAAAAUACAGCUAGUAGUUAAAUGCUUCCCUUAAAGAUUAUUUUACCAAUCGUGCUACGUAAGAACACUAGGAUAGAUACAUCAAUGUAAAUCUCUGUGCUGACAGCCCACUCUGAAACAGGACUCCAAGUUUUUCCAUGCAUGGCAUAACUAUGGCAGCCUGAACCCACACUCUGCCUCCAUAAUACACUGGAUUUUUUUUUUUUUUUGCCAGGCCCAGCACUGAAUCAGCAGCAUUCAAUGCAGCCAGCAAGACUGGCCCUUGUAAUUAACAUGGGAUAUGCAAAGGGAUUCCUGAUUCAUUUACACACUCAGAUGUCACCUCCUCUACUUCAGGAUGCUAAACUAGACAAGCCACAGGAGUGGCAAGCUAAGAGACUGCCAGAACCUCCAAUGCUACAAUGAUAUUCAAUCCUUUAAAUCCUAAGCCUAAGAAAGGCCUCCAAAACCAAUAUCCAUCCACACAAACUUCAGUGUAUGAAGAGGAAGAGAAUGAUUCAUUCUCAGAAGAAAUCCUCCAGGCACAGCACAGCUAAAAGCCUGGGAAACAGUGGCAGAAGACACUUCAUGAAGCUUGAAGAUUCCAAAGGUCUUGUCAGGCAGAAGUCAUCAUUGGGGAUUUGGCCUUUAUCUGUACCAGAAAGUAUUACCAGCUCAGUUCUGGGAGAGUGUCAGAGGGUAGCACAAAGCCCUGGGUUCUAAUAAAGCGACCAGCUCCCACACCUGAUGUAACACACUGCACUGCAGAUCAGCACAACCCCAGGGACAGGAUCAGGCCUGCCACAAGCAGCUGUUGUAUCACAAGUGACAAAAACUCUCUCCUCCGUUCCUCUGGCCUUUGUAGCUACAAAUGGCAGGGCUACAACAAUCUCCAGCAACAUUUCUACACUCCCAGGCUCACUAAUUGCCUCUAUUGCCUUGCUCCUUGGAAAGGAUUUUCUACUGCCUCAGACUCUACCACUUCAAGGACACAGUCUGCCUUUUUCCAGGGACAUGGACUUAUUUAGGGCCUUCCACAUGGAAUCAUUUCCUCUACCCUCCUUUUCACUAGCUCUCACUCUACCUGCUUGACAAGGCACACAGCCCAAGGCAAAUACAUAGGCUCUGCUGACUCCCACAUAACUGAAGACACAUCCUGAUUUUCACCUCAAGUCCCAAGAACACUUAGCAGAAAGGAAGAGAAUAAGUAUUAGAGCUGGGCAACAAAAGUGUAGAAGUGCAGAGAAUUCAAUGGAGAAGUGGUGGCCACUUUGGAAUUCAGCCACGAGCAGGGUUUAUAUUGGAAAGAGCAAGGUGAACAGGAGCCACCCACUCACACUGCUCCUUGGAGUAACAUUUCUGACCUUUUACAAAGGUCCUGUAAUUAGAUGGCCCACCCAUUCCCAUCUCCAGAAAGACGACUAAUUACCAUUUCCAGCCCUAGCACGGUUCUCUUCAAGUUCUGUAGAAACCACAGAAGAGGUGGAAAUCCUCUCCAGCCAAGCCAGGGAGCAUUUCAUCUGUGCUUCAUGGAGGGCCCAGAGAGAAACAUGAAGAAACACAGACUGAGCAGGGGCCCAACACCUGAGUACAAUCCAAGCUCACUGCACUGGAAGUUAACACAGCCCUCCCAACAGACAGGAAACAAGCACCACCACCAGCUACUGGACAUGCAGCAGGAGCAGGCAGCAGGAUCUUGGAACUGAACAACACAACAAGAAAUUUGAGGAAGGCUUUUUGAUUUUUCAGGACUAAGCUUCCAAACACAAUCAGUAAGCAGACACAGCACUCUAAAGAACAUACAACAGCUUCUCCUAUUUUACAUGGAGGACUUGCAGUUGCCUUGAAGAGUUUGGGGAGCUAAGAGGCAGAAAGAAGUGGAACAGGUCAGACAUGCUACAAGUUCAAGAGAGGUGCUGAACCUAUGGGUCAGAAGAAUGACCAAAGACCUCUUGUGCUGUCACCAGUGACAUUGCACAGCUGCUGCCAUGGCUGACAGCAAGGCUGGGCACUGAGCUGCUCUGCACACCUGCUGUCUAUGUGGGGUGCCAAAAGAAUAAACACAUGCCUUGCUAGGACUGUUUUUUGCUAGAAGUGGCUCCUUGGCUUCCCUUGCAUUCAUUCAGCAAGAUGCCUGCAAGAGCACCUUUCCUUACAGAAAGCCAAGCAGACAGCAGGAACAAAGUCUUUCCCUCCCAUCAAGAGGUCCUGCAGGGUGCUCUGGCUGCCAGCUUACUCCUCUGGACACCUGAUCCCACAGCCCUGUGACUGCUGAGGGCACUGAUCCAGGUUCAGCAGCUUCUCCACCAAGCCAGUGAACAUUUCCGUCUAUGUCAGCACAGAACAUCUCCCCUCCACCUCUCUUUCCACCACAGAAAAAAAGCUUUACCAUUUCCAAGAAGCACCAGAAGGUUCCCCAUUAAUUAUAUCCAUAUUUCCAUGUAAGUGCAUAAAGGUGUCUCUCCUUCCUGGGCUAGGGCCACUGACCUCAACAACUUUUUCUCCACGGAGAGCCUCUGCAGGAGGUACAAGUGCCCAUCACCUGUGCAAAGAGGAACCUAACUACUGAGACACCACAGAUGCUACAGAACUUUCCUGUGUGUCCCUGUGGGGAUCCGUAGCUCUCUUCACACAGAAGACAGCAUCACGUAUACUUCCCCCAGGAUAAGCAUCCUGAUUCAUGCUUUGGCCAGCAUAAGCUGGCAUUGCUCUGAGGAUUCCACAGACUCUAAGCUGGUUUAUUUUCCUCUGUCAAUCUGGGAUUUGGUGUUAAGAUUACACAAACACAGAGAAAGUAAAUCUCUAUGACCAGUUCUUAAGCCCUUGCAUGCACAUAAUCAAACUGCAGAAGCACAACAUUUAAGAUGCUGAUAUUGAAACUGAUUAUCUCAGUUUCAAAAGGUUUUGUUCAUUGGGUUGUUUCUGGGUUUUUUUUGCUCCUGCUACCCAAUGGAAAACGCCUCUACAGUUCAGCAGCACAUUUCCUGGUGGUCACAUGAUGACAGCUGACAAGCAAACCCAAAUGUCAAAUAACUGUUAUUUCAUCUCACGUCAAUCCUGAGACAGAGUCCUGAUUAAGACAGCAAUUUAAAAUAAUUUUUAAAUGUUGUAAACAACCCAGGAAAUGCUUUCCAAAGAGCAUCCCAAACAACACUACCCAAUCUAGCAACACACGGCUUUCUGUCUCUAUUCUUAGUACUAAAAGCAUCUCCUCAGCUUGCUUUUUCAUUUUCUGUCAUGCCUUGUCAUGCUUCAGGAGAACAGCAAACUACCACAGAUGGGGUUUGAUAGCCAGCUUUGCAUUUGCCAGCAGAACCCACCCCUUCCCCCCAAAAUAGAAGCAAUUCAGCAGCUCCAACCCACCCUCAGACAGGGCUGUCCAGGACAACAUUCACAUGCCACGCAGACAAUUGAGAUGCUGUGGGUUAACUGUGAGUCAGAGGGACUUAGUACCAGCUCAAAGACAGCUUUUCAGUGAAUACAGCUUCACAUCCCAUCAUUUAUUCAGGCUGCUAUGCUCCCAAAGCAGGCACAGCUCACCAAAGCGAGAUGAUUCUAGACCUUACCAAAACUACAUUCCCUACUCAGUAUUAGGGAUGAAAGAAUCCUACAGUAGCUGCACUUUAGCAUUCCUCCUGACUGAAAAAGGACGGUCUCACCAUGUCACAUAAGCCAGUUUUUCUCACCCAGGCCGCUGCCUUUCAGAUUUAUACAGACAGGUGACCAUCCUCAAAGCUCCACACCUAGCAUGUGUGAAAAGCUGCAGGUUUGGAGGUACACACAAAGAGGAGAGAGCAAUGCCAGCAUGAGAACUUUUCACUUGCUUGGCAUAUAAAGGUGCAUUUCCUUGUGUGCUGGACUGCAAGAGCCCCAAGAGAUGGUAUAGGUAUGACAGAGGCUAUUUUCCAGAAUACCCUUGGGGCAAGAAGCUGUUCAUGCCACAACACUGCACUAUGCACAAUCAAGUAACUUGUAAACACAGGAGACUGCCCAAUGCACCUUGACGCCCAUACAGAUUAUUCUAGUGGUAAAAUUGCACUGCUUUUUCAUGCCAGCAAACAUAAGAACCUCAAAGCUGGAGAGAGAGAGCACUUCAGAUGCAAGGCAACAUCACUGUUGUAACCUUGAAUAACAAAUCCAAGAUCCCUACAACUUAAUGGUAAAGUGCUUAACCAGAGCUAGGCAAGGUCAUAUCAGACUGUAAAUACCUCCUGAUCUCUUAUAUAAAUAUAAGGUGCCCUGCCUAAGUAAUAUGCACGCCCAAUGUUGUUCUCUUUGGUGUUCUCAAGCACGCCUUUGAAGCCCACAGUGUGUUCUGAAGGCUGCAGAUCACUUGGUCAGGGCUUUCAGUUCAGUGUCAGCCCAUAGCAAAGCCUUCCUGUCCUACACAAAUGAUGACAGUGAGGUCUUAACUAAUAGAGAAAGCAGAAUGAGUUCACAGGCAAGCUGAACAGAUGCAAAGGCCAGAGGGAAAAAGCUGGAAAAGAAUCCACUAAGUGGGAUCUUAUUCUCUGAAGUCAAGCAAGAUGUCUGCUCUCUCUGAUCAGGGUCUCAAAAGACUGGACUCACAGAAAAACCCCCAAGGAAGAGGUUUUUCCACUCCUCCCCUGCAAGUACUUGUCUCUGCACAGGAGAGUCUUCUUGAGCUCACAGGCAUGAGGUCACUAACUUUAUCUACACACAGGUAAAUAAGCAAGGCUUCUUUCUGCAAAAUUCCCCCCUUUGUCAUUCAUCAAGAGACACUAUUCAGCAUUGCAGUUUCAUGGACAGAGCAACUGACAGUGCAGAGCAGCAUUUGCCACAGGAUUCAAAGCCCAUGGGCCUGCUCUCAGCAGCACAGGUACUCAGGACCCCAAGAGCCUGUAUGACAAUGAACUGCUCUCCCAGUUCAGGCCUAGCUGUACCUCCUGCCCUGUCCUCUUUUACCUCUAUGAUUUCAUUCUAACCUCUGCACCUCUGCCUGGAAGCUGCACUGUCAGGAGGGUUUAUGACACGGACAAGGUACGGCCACGCACCCCGUGUGCUUUUACUUUCAGAAGCCAACUCUGUUGCCUUAGACAGAGCUGCUCUCUACCAAAGAUAACUGUCAGUCAUGCAGGUGAGUCAGAAGAAAAUAACUCCAGAGAAGUCAAACAGAAGACAGAACUGGAACACCCAAGACCCAAGCCUUGGUUAGCUUUAAAGAGCAUGGUUUGCCCUCCUUCAGGAGAAAGCUCUCUACCAGGCUGGAUGCCUCCCUCAGGGCAGUGCCUGCCACACCGUGGAUGAUGCUCUGUCCUGGCUAUUUUUAUGUUCAAAGUAAACAUGAUAACAGGA